GGGGUGGUGGUGGUGGCUGACAGUGGUGAUUGUUGAUGGUGAUGGUGGCGGAUGACGGUGGUAGUGGUUGUUGAUGGUGGUGGUGGGUGGUUGUUGAUGAUGGUGAAAGUUAUAUUAUACAAACAUUAAUACCCUAUGUGCUACCAAUUUCCUUUCUAUAAUUUAAAACUUUAAUUUGAUUUUUAUACUAUAUAUAAUAUACACUUUUAAUAUUACAAAAAUCGUCGUUUAUGUUGAUAGCAGAUUGCAAAGUGUGUCCUUUGUCUUCAAAAAGUACAAAAGUGUACUCGAUGUUUGCAAUCCCUUGAACGUUAUGUGCUUUAGCCCGAACUCAGUUAGGUUUAUGGUUAAAUUUGACCAACUGAACCCCGCAUGAAGGUAUUUUAGUCAUUUUACAUUAUUUACACAAAUAAAUAAACAUAAACAUUAACAUAUAAAAAACUUAAUACAUAUCUCUCUCUAUAACACAUACACAUACCAUCUCUUUUAACCUCCACCAUCAGCCACCACCUACUCACCAUGACCACCACAACCCCCACUCAAUUUAUAAAAUCCUCUAAAAACACAACAUAUUAGCACAAACAAGAUCAUCAAAUUGAAUCGAAACCAUUCAGAUCAACAAAAACAUGCAGAUCAAUCCGUACACUCAAAAAACACUAACAAUUUCAACAUAAAACAAAAUCAGAAAUGAAGAAAUUAUAUCUGGAACAACCCCACUCCUCAUCUUCUUCACAAAACUUGUCAGUGGUUAUAUAACAGCAGUGAACGACAACCAUAAUGGGUAGCAAUGGGAAAAUGGAGUUUCGACAAAUCAGAUCCGGCAGUGUGGAACGACGGAUUUUAGGGUUUCGACGAUGACGACGACUUUUAGGGUUUUGACGACGACGGAGCUAUGUAAUGACGACGAGUUGGUGAUGUGAUGGUGGUGGUACUGUGGCGGUGGUGGUGCAAUGGCAGUGGUGGUGCUGUGGUGGAGGAGCUAUGGGCGGUGGUGAUGUGAUGGCGGUGGUGCGAUGCAAGUGGUGGUGCGAUGGCGAAGGAGCUUUGGGCGUUGGUGAUGUGAUGACAGUGGUUGUGCCAUGGCGGAAUUCUAGAGAGAGAGAGAGAGUAGAGGAAGGAGAGUGAGUUUUGGGAGAGAUGGGGAUAGAGGUGUUUUUUAUUAUUUAUUUAAGUGUUUUGGGUAAAAUGACCAAAAUACCCUCAUGUGGGACUCACUUGGUCAGACUUAACCAUGAAAGCCAACUGAGUUAGGGCUAAAGGAUAUAACGUGCAAGGGUUUGCAAACAUCGAGUACGUUUUUUGUACUUUUAAAAGACAAAUGACUCACUUUGCAAUCUGGUGUCAACAUAAAGGAUGAUUUUUGUAAUUUACACUAUCUUGAUUUCACUAUGUUAACUUUUGUUAGUUAACUUUUGCUAGUUAACUUUUAUAAAACUAAUACACCAUUGUGUAUAUAUUUUUAUAUGAAAAUUCAGGUAUAAGUUUUUUUUUUUUUUUGAAAACACAGUUUAGUUCAAAUAGAGUACAUUCUUUAUCUCAUAAGCUAUAUCAAGUACCAUACCAUAUUGGCGCCAUUACAAACUACAAACUGAACAAAAUCAGUAUCAGUUCAAGUAUUAUGGGGACUUGUAUCAGUAGUAUUAGUAUUAUUGGAACCUAUGUCGACAUCCCUGUUCAUAGCUUUCAAGCGCUAUAAAAUAUAAGUUAAUUUUUUGGGUUACAUAAGACAAUAUUUUUUUGUAAUGAAACCAUUGUGAUCUUUCUCUUAUAACAUAAAUUACUAAGAGUACCGAUGCCAUAACGAAUCAAAGCUUUACUGAUUGAUAACAUCCUUACUAGUAUCAACAUUAUCGGGAGUGGUAUCAAGAUUAUCGGAACUGAUAUAGGAAGCUUGGCUUAAUGAAAAGAAGAAUUAGAAACAAACCAAAGGUUGAGGGUUCAAUUGUGAAGGAACAUCUAGUGAAUGAAAUUGCCACCUAUUGUUCUCUAUACUUUGACUCAACGAUUGAGACACGCCAUAAUCGAGAGCCACGAAAUUUCGCACCGCAACAUCUCAGCUCUUUGAGUGGAGGCUCUAAACUAAGCGUAUUUGUCGAUCUAUCGAGACGAUUACAUCAAAAGGGUGGAACACGAAGGCAUAUGAGUAAUGAAGAACUUUAAAAGGUGCACACAUAUGUUCUUCUAAAUUGUGUAGAAUUUUACCCUUAUAUCAACAAAUUUGAUGAAGUGGCACCACAACUAUAUCCGGACGAACCAGAAUUCCUUGUUAGAGAUUACCUUUUUGCUAAAUGGUUUGAAAAUCACGUAAUGAACAAUUUAAUUGAUGGAAGCACUCGACAUUUGGAAAUUUAGCAAGACAACCAUCAAUGUACGCUCAAUCACACAAUGGGUACUUUGUAAAUGGUUAUAAGUUUCACAUCUAGAAGUAUGGUAAGGGACUUGUGACCUCAAACUGUGGUGUAUGCGUGAGAGGGGAAACGUAUGACGCGGAAGAGUCUGACUAGCACGGAUUAGUGGACGAGAUAUUAGAACUUAAGUAUAAUAGCAAGGAACCUCAAAUUGUGGUAGUGUUUAAAUGUACAUGGUUUGAUAACAACCUGGGUGUAAUAGUUAACAAAAAUAAGCUUGUUGAUGUUAAACACAAGUUUCAUCUUCCAGGUGACGACAAGUUCAUCUUGGCAUCACAGGCAGAACAAGUGUUUUACACUUCAUACCCUGCCGUAACACGUGAUACAAAAGAUCUAUGGCCGGUUGUAAAGACAAAAUCCCGUCACAUUUAUGAUCUCACUACACCUGAAACUGAUAUCACCAAUGAUGGUAACACGACAUCACAUGAUUUUCUUCAAAUUGAUGAACGGCUUGAGUUACCGAAUGCGGUAACUAGGAGUGAUCCCUUAGACCUGGUUACAUUUCAUGAUGAUGAUGGUGGUGAUGGUGAUGGUUGUGAUAACGAUGAUGCAAACGUUUAUUCUGACUACUCUUUAGAUGAAGAUGAACAUGAUUGUUAGGAACAUAAAUUGUUUGUUGUUGUAUACUUGUUAUUAUUUGAGAUUUAUC